CCCAAGGGUUCCCAGGGCAACGCGCAAGCGCAGUUCGGCUCCCGGCUGCAGACUCCAGCUCAUUGUGUUCUGACUGCGAUGUGGCGCUUGCGAUCUCUCGCCGCCGGCAGAGGCUCCUCGAAGAGCGACACGGGGCUGACCAGGCACGGUGGUCAAAGCCGCAGAGGGAGAGCGGGAGCGGUCGUGAGGUCGUCUGGGGAGAAGGGCGGAGGCAAAGCCGAGGAGGUGCGGGUUGUGGUCCAUUCUGGAGGACGCUGAUCGAAUGCCCCAAACUUCCCGGAAUCAGGUGUGUGGACCCUUCUAGCCUGAGGAGUCCUGCAGGUGUGAAGCUCCGCACCUGCCUCCAUAGCACUUUGCCUGUCCCUAAGAGGGCUCAUCGGAGAAGACAGAAUGGCUGUCAGCCACCUGCCAACCAUGGUCCAGGAAUCGGUGACCUUCAAGGAUGUGGCUAUACUGUUCACCCAGGAGGAGUGGGGGCAGCUGAGCCCCGCCCAGAGGGCCCUGUACAGGGACGUGAUGCUGGAGAACUACAGCAACCUGGUCUCACUGGGACUCUUAGGACCCAAACCAGAUACGUUUUCCCAGCUAGAAAAAAGGGAAGUGUGGAUGCCAGAGGACACCCCUGGAGGCUUCUGUCUUGACUGGAUGACUAUGCCUGCCAGUAAGAAAUCUACUCUCAAGGCAGAAAUUCCUGAAGAAGAAUUAGAUCCAUGGACAAUAAAGGAAAGAUUCAGUAGCAGUAGUCACUGGAAGUGUGCUAGCCUGCUGGAGUGGCAAUGUGGAGGCCAGGAGAUCAGUUUGCAGCGAGUGGUACUCACUCACCCCAACACCCCAUCACAGGAAUGUGAUGAAUCCGGGAGCACUAUCAGCUCAUCUCUUCACAGUGCUCAAAGUCAGGGAUUUCAACCUAGCAAAAAUGCCUUUGAGUGUAGUGAGUGUGGAAAAGUCUUCUCUAAGAGUUCAACUCUUAAUAAACAUCAGAAAAUUCAUACUGAAAAAAAUGCAAAUCAGAAAAUUCAUAUUAAGGAGAAAAGAUAUGAAUGUAGAGAAUGUGGGAAAGCCUUUCACCAGAGCACGCACCUUAUCCAUCACCAAAGAAUUCACACUGGCGAGAAACCCUAUGAAUGUAAGGAAUGUGGCAAGGCCUUCUCAGUGAGCUCCUCACUUACGUACCAUCAGAAAAUUCAUACUGGAGAGAAACCUUUUGAAUGCAACUUAUGUGGAAAAGCUUUUAUCCGAAAUAUACACCUUGCCCAUCAUCAUAGAAUACAUACGGGAGAGAAACCUUUUAAAUGUAACAUUUGUGAAAAAGCCUUUGUGUGCAGGGCACACCUUACCAAACACCAGAAUAUCCACAGUGGAGAGAAACCCUAUAAAUGCAAUGAAUGUGGAAAAGCCUUUAAUCAGAGUACAAGUUUCCUUCAGCAUCAGAGAAUUCACACUGGAGAGAAACCCUUUGAAUGUAAUGAAUGUGGGAAGGCCUUCAGGGUGAACUCUUCCCUUACUGAACAUCAGAGAAUUCAUACUGGAGAGAAACCUUAUAAAUGUAAUGAAUGUGGGAAAGCUUUCAGGGAUAAUUCAUCCUUUGCACGACAUCGGAAAAUUCACACUGGAGAGAAACCUUACAGAUGUGGCUUGUGUGAGAAAGCCUUUCGGGACCAAUCGGCACUAGCCCAACAUCAGAGAAUUCAUACUGGGGAAAAACCUUAUACAUGUAACAUAUGUGAAAAAGCCUUCAGUGACCAUUCAGCCCUUACCCAACAUAAGAGAAUUCAUACUAGGGAAAAACCUUACAAAUGUAAAAUCUGUGAGAAAGCCUUUAUCCGAAGCACUCACCUGACUCAACAUCAGAGGAUUCACACAGGAGAGAAGCCCUAUAAAUGUAAUAAAUGUGGGAAAGCUUUUAACCAGACUGCAAACCUCAUUCAGCAUCAGAGACAUCAUAUUGGAGAGAAGUGAUAUGAAUGCAGUUUGUAUGGAAGACCUUUGAGACUGAGUAGAUGAAUUAUUGAAUGUGAGAUAAUCCGUUCUAGAGAAUAACUAUGAAAGCUUGCAUCAAGAUAGUCACUUUAUUUACUGAGGGUCAGGUUUCACAGUGUCAUGGGGUUUGGGCAUUUAAGAAUGGCAAACACUCGGCCGGGCACAGUGGCUCACGUCUGUAAUCCCAGCACUUUGGGAGGCCGAGGUGGGCGGAUCACGAGGUCAGGAGAUCGAGACCAUCCUGGCUAACAGGGUGAAACCCCAUCUCUACUAAAAAUAUAAAAAAUUGCCCGGGCAUGGUGGCGGGCGCCUGUAGUCCCAGCUACUCGGGAGGCUGAGGCAGGAGAAUGGCAUGAACCCGGGAGGCAGAGGUUGCAGUGAGCCGAGAUCGUGCCACUGCACUCCAGCCUGGGUGACAGAGCAAGACUCAGUCUCAAAAAAAAAAAAAAAAGAAGAAUUGCAAACACUCCUCAUUCUUUAAUACUGCCUCAAAUAGCAGUACUGUUUGAUUUGUCUGAAUUACCAAGUAUCAGAACCAAAAUGGAGCUUCAUUAACAGCAUUAAAAUUGGUUUAUCAAAUUACAUUUUGACUAUUAGAGAAACUGAAAUUGUAAAAAUUAAAGCUGAAAAGCAAAGGAACAAAAAGGUAAAAUGGCCUACAAGCAUUGCACUCUACUAGAUUCUCUUACAUAAGAGAGUUGCCAGCUUUAAUGGAAGCCUUAGUCCUCUCCUCACCCACACCACUGACACCCAGUGUAGAGAAAGUGCAUCACCCACACUUAUUUAAACCAUGCUUCCUGCCUUCUGCUUCAAACCAUCCAUUGUCAGAUCUCUCUGGUCUGUCUGCUGGCUUCAUCCCUGUAGAAUCCCUGUGAGAUGAUUCAUUUGCCCCAAAUGACCCUCUUCUGACUUAGCAACGCCUAACUGUAUGCAUGGUGCCACCUAUCACUGCCCCUAUGGGGAGUGUGGUGAUCUGGUCUCAGACACAGUCCAUGAUGUUGAAUAUCACACCCAAAUCCAGCCUUCAGAACUUGGUAUCUCUGUCUAGAAGGCACAACUUGAUCAAAAUUCUUGAGUUAUGCAUUUCCUCUGGGCUUCAGCUUGACUGAUCCUGGGAUAGCACCUGCAGGAGGGGCUUUGCCUGUGCCGCCUUUACCCUCCAAUUGUUCUGUACUUAGUGACUCUACACAUCAGUCAGGGACUUGCUCAGCUUCAGGUGCAAUGAUCCCACCCACUUACGUUGUACUAUUCCCAGUCACCUCCAUCUGUCGCUGCCCGUUUCUGUAUGUGCAAUUGAUAUAAGAGGUGAAAGCCCCAAGGCCAGUUCUCAGAUUGCUCUGACCCACUCUCUUCCCCCUGGCCAGUUCUCAGAAUGCUCUGACCCACUCUUCUCCCUGGCCAGUUCUCAGAUUGCUCUGACCCACUGUCUUCCCCCGGCUGGACAGUCCACUGCGUACACUGCAUUAGAGUACAUUUACUACUCCCAGGAUAAACUGCUGCAUCCUGGUCCUUCCCCUGCCUUUUCUAGGUUUCUGGAGGUAGUAAUUCUAUAUUCAUAGGAAAGCAGACAUCUUUGAAUUUCUGCUUUUGCAUUUGGAAGUGGUCAUUUCCUCUCCUCCAUCUGGGCCUUCCACUAUUUAAAGACUCAUGCUGACAGUGGUGAGAAAAAUGUUGAGUAAUUCCAUGAGUCAAGAAGUGGUCACUAGCACCAUUGAUAUUCUCUGGCAAGGGCCAUGUCCGUGUUCAAAAGUUUGAGUGGUACAGUAGUCCUGCAGGUGUGUUUCCUUUACCCUGGUUUUUUUUUUCUUUUUCUUUUUCUUUUUUUUUUUUUUUGAGACAGAGUGUUGCACUGUCUCCCAGGCUAGAGUGCAGUGCUGUGAUCUCGGCUCACUGUAACUUCCAUCUCCUGGGUUCAAGUGAUUCUCCUGCCUCAGCCUCCCGAGUAGCUAGGACUACAGGCACCCAUUACCAUGCCCAGCUAAUUUUUUGUAUUUUUAGUAGAGAUGGGGUUUCACUAUCUUGGCCAGGCUGGUCUCAAACUCCCGACCUCGUGAUCCGCCCACCUUGGCCUCUCAAAGUGCUGGGAUUACAGGUGUGAGCCACCACACCCGUCCACCUUCCCCGUCUUUAAUCCUUCAGUGCUUUCAGUAGAAAUCACACAGAUAAGUAACAUCUGUGCAUCACACACACACACACGCACACACACACACACACACAGCCUCUGAGGGCCCUCUCCCUUUUCCUACCACAAGGAAUGGAGGAGCCUGCACUACUGCAAGCUGGAAUAUAUCAUGCAAUGAAGAUGGGAGGCCAAGCAAACUUUUCUGGAAAGUGAAGUGGCAAGUUCCUGGUAUGUGGAAGUGCUGUCCGUCAAGUUGAGCAACCUCCUGACCCCUCAGAAUGGAGCACCUCACCCCCAUGUUACAGAAAAGGAUAUUCUAUAUCAUGGUAGAACUCAGUGGGCUCUGGGUUGCAACAUAGACUUGGAAGCUUCCAGCAGCUUCAAAGUCCAAGUAAUCUAAAUUCAGCCUUCAUCUAAUAAAGGCCACCUUUGUGGGCCAGCAUCUCCUGUUAGCUGAUCAGCAACUCAGACUUUCUUCCCUAUUAAGCUGCAUGUGAAGCAGUAUUUCAAGAGGUUUCUUGGGAUUGCCUGUGUCCCAUGUCCUCAGAAGUUCAUCUGCAGCUUCACGCAGCUGACAUCCUCAGAUUCCAGAGUAAACCUGAAAAAACCACGUUCACUGCUACAGAUGUCUGUCUUCACCCCAUCCAUGCAAUGUGCCAGGUCUUAACUACCACUCCUUACCUUGAAUCCCUGAGAAGCACGUUUCUAGGCUGAGUUGGUUGGUCGUUUUGUCUGUUUGUAAUGAACGCAUGAGAACUACCACUACUUGGUAUGUGCCUGCAGUUGAGCCAGGGCCAAGGCCUGCAGCCACUUGAGUCUCAUUCAUCUCAGCCGCGGCUCCAGGAACUACGCGUUAGCAGCAUUAAGUGCAGUCUGAAGGCCCCCAUCUGAGAAGACAGUGCACUCUCCCUGAGUUCACCUCUCAUCAGGCUUGGGUUUUCAUGAAAUUAGUCCUCCGAGAUGCCUGUUCACUCAUCCCUGUCUGCGAAGGCAAAAAGUAAGUCACUGGCCUAUUAGAUACACCCAGGCUGACUUGAAUAUAUUUAUGGUACUCGUACUUGGCCAGGCAGUGGCUUUAUUGUAUUAUACUGUAGGACUACGAGCUCACUACAUGGCCUUCUCAACUAGGGGAGUGGACACUGCCUGGGUCUAGUCAUACUUUUCUCACGUGGAUGAUAUUGCUCUCUACCUGGGCAUUCUGACCUGCCCCAGCUCAACCCCUAAAAGUACAUUUCUGAGGACCCUGCAGUAAGACUUUUUCAGCCACAGUCUUCUCUACCAGCUGUUCUGUGUGGUGUUAGACAUUUCAGUACUUACUGAGAGGGAGUUUUCUGUGCCCCACCUUCAGCUGGGUUAAUCCCCAAAGAACCAGUGUUUCCUAGGAAAAGCAGUUCAUUCCAUAUCUUGCUUUUGUAGUCCUAAUGGCCAUGUCAACAUACCCAGCUGUGACAAGAUGAAAGACCACGAUUUGGGACUCUUCAGGGACAGACUUGGCCACCUGGUGAUGUGCCACCGUCAGCAGCUCUGUCUUCACACGUCCAGCCUGCGCCUGCUUCAUGUAGUACACAAGACUGCUCUGGUACACCACGACCAUGACCUUCACAUGAGGCCAGUCUCCCCGCCCCUCACCUGGGCCAUAGAAAAAGCCAGCCUGGCCCGAGCCCCCCACAAUGACCAUCGAAGCCCCACGUGGUCCUGGAAAGCAGCGUGUUCAUGCUGUGGAAUGUAAAAAGCUGUUUCCCAUCAUCGGGGCCAACAGUUCACAUGUGAGGCCACGCCUGGCACCAGAUGCUGUUGUAAGAACUUUGCGUAUAUUCAUUCAUUUAAUCCUCACAAUUGCAUGAAACCGUUAUGUCCAUCCUGUUUUGUAUUGUUAUGAGGUAGUCAGUUAAGAUGGAGCCAAAAGAGGCAGAGGAGAGGCUCGGGAUAACAAAUGUACUCACUAUUCCUAGAGACAGGAGGCAGGGCAGGCCACACAGGGCCAUGUGGGCGAGGCACCUGAGUGUUCAGGAGGCAGAAGACAGGAGUCGGCGGGGAGUAGGGGGAAGCAUGAAGCCAGGGCCUUUCUUUGGGUGUCUGAGGGAAAGGCAGGGUGGGUGAAUUGUUUAGACUGGCUAGUUUGUGUCAUUUCAGUAAGCUCUAAGCUAUAAGGAUGGGGAUGUCCCUAGGUGCCUGGUGCUCGGCCCUGGGGUGAUGAAGGCAGAGGAAUGUUGCUUCUGGGGUGUGUGGGCCUGAGAGAGGAGGCCUGGCUCUGGCUGGUUACUACAUAUGGAAGACGUGCCCAGCUCAGUCUUUGCUGUCUCUUAAGAACUGGCCAGCCCCAGCUGGGCGCGGUGGCCAUGCCUGUAAUCCCAGCACUUUGGGAAGCGGAGAUGGGCGGAUCACAAGGUAAGGAGAUUGAGACCAUCCUGACUAACACGGUGAAACCCCGUCUCUACUGAAAAAAAAAAAAAACAAAAAAUUAGCUGGGUGUGGUGGCGGGCGCAUGUAGUCCCAGCUACUUGGGAGGCUGAGGCAGGAGAAUGGCGUGAACCUGGGAGGUGGAGCUUGCAGUGAGCCGAGAUGGCGCCACUGCACUCCAGGCUGGGCAGCGAGACUCCAUCUGAACAAAAAAAAAAAAAAAGAAGAAGAACUGGCCAGCCCCAGGAAGGGUGGCUCUGUCUGUCCCCAGCCAAAAGGUUUUUUGUUUGUUUGUUUGUUUGUUUGUUUGUUUGUUUUUUGAGAUGGAGUCUCACUCUGUCACCCAGUCUGGAGCACAGUGGUGCAAUCUCGGUUCCCUGUAAACUCAGCCUCCCGGAUUCAAGUGAUUCUCCUGCUUCAGCCUCCCUAGUAGUUGGGAUUACAGGCAUGCACCACCACACCUGGCUAAUUUUUUGUAUUUUUGUAGAGAUGGGGUUUCACCAUAUUGUCCAGGCUGGUCUCGAACUCCUGAUGUUGAGUGAUCUGCCCACCUUGGCCUCCCAAAGUGCUGGGAUUACAGGUGUGAGCCACCGCACCUGGCUAAAACAUAAUAUACAGAAAAAUUUUAAAUAUAUACACAAUAUAUUUCACAACUAUUUUAUGACUAUACAAUAUUUUACAAUCUAUUUUACAACUGUGUUGGUAUAAAGACAAAAUCUUUGACCCUAAAAGGUCAUUUUUCUUUCCAAUUUGGGGAGAACUUAAAACAUUUCCAUGAGCCCCUAGAAGCAUUCUGGGCCCCAGGCACUGUCCCUACUGCACCUAAUGGACAAGUCGGUGCUGCCUGGCAUUGAUGGGUGGGGAGGGCUGGGGCCACGUGCUCACCUGGAACCUAAGGAGGUGAGGUUCACCCAAACCACAUGAUCCAAGAGUAGAAGUGAGGGGUCCACAAGAAAAUCCCAGGGUCUUUCUCCAAAGAAGAGAGGGUGUGGUAAGGUCCCACGCAGGCAAACCACAGAUGACCCAGGCCCGACGCAGCUGAGGCUGAGGCUGCGGCCUUUGGUGGCUCACCCCCUUCUCAGAUCCAUACUUUCUGGGCCAGGCCUGAGACUAAGCCACGUGGGGGUGAAAGAACCAGGAGCAGGGGGAAGAUGUGGGGGAAGGGCAGGCGGAGUGCUGACCCCGAGGACCUGUUUCCCUGGAAAGGCAGCAGUUUUUACCUAUCUUAUCGCCAACUCAGAUGAAUUCUUAUACCAGCUGCAUAACUAUACUCUCAAGAUCCAGUUUCUCUCUAACUUCAGGCAUCCAUGUUUUCCUGCCAUAGACUCUUGUAACAAACCUCUUUCCUAAUAGUAAAUAGGUAAAAAAACAAACAAACAAACAAAAAAAAACCCAGAGGCCUUUCUGAUCGUGGUGGCUGACAGCAGAUCCGGCUGCAGUUCCUCUCCUUUCCCUCCCUACCUCCCUCCCUCCCUCCUUCCUUCCUUCCUUCCUUUCUCUGUCUCUCUCUGUCUCUGUCCCUCCCUCUCUCCCUCCCCCCAGCUACCCCUCCCCUCCCCUCCCAUUCCUUUCCUUUCCUUUCUUCUGUCAGCUGAAGCAGCAAGACCACACAGGCCCAUUAGUUCAUGCAGGGGGCCUUGGUAGGACUUGAAACGGAGGAAGCUAUUGUCUGGUUUUGGGCUUUGUAUUUCAAAUUUCCAAGCUGCAGAUAAUUGCUAUAAUAAUGUACAUUUUACCAGAGCAUUAAAAAAUGGAAAAGUUUCCAAUUACUUUUCUUUCUUUCUCAAUUAAUUUUCCUUGCAGUGAAGAAGAAAUUCCAAAGUUGGAAAAAGUAUUUAACCACCUGAAGUUCAAUUGCUAAUUCACCUCAGUAAUAUACCUAGUGACAAAUCUUUUAUCCUCCAGUUUUUAGUGUCUUUACUGAUUAAAAAAAAUAGAGGUUGACUGGGCCGGGCGCAAUGGCUCAUGCCUGUAAUCCCAGCACUUUGGGAGGCCGAGGUGGGUGGAUCACGGGGUCAGGAGAUCGAGACCAUCCUGGCUAACACGGUGAAACCCCGUCUCUACUAAAAAAUACAAAAAAUUAGCUGGCGUGGUGGCGUGCGCCUGUACUCCCAGCUACUCGGGAGGCUGAGGCAGGAGAAUGGCGUGAACCCAGGAGGCAGAGCUUGCAGUGAGCUGAGAUCGCGCCACAGCACUCCAGCCUGGGCGACAGAGCAAGACUCCAUCUCAAAAAAAAAAAAAAAAAAAAUGAGGUCGACUGAAGAAUGAAAAAAAUCCUGUCCAUUUAUAUUACUUCUGCCGUUCUUUAUCAGUGUGUACAUAGGCAGAGAAUGAAACCUGGAGGCUUUUGUCACCAGGGUCAUAGUUUAAACUUAUGAAGUAGACAGUGGGGUUGGGCUGGGAUGGUGCGGUGAAGAUGAUGUCACGACUAAACAGAUUUAUUAUGAAAGAGGUUUGUUAAAAGAGUCUAUGGCAGGAAAACAUGGAUGCCUGAGGUUAGAGAGAAACUGGAUCUUGGGAGUAUAGUUAUGCAGCUGGUACAAGAAUUCAUCCGAGUUGGCGAUAAGAUAGGUAAAGGAUGCAUCAAUGGUUAUUCCUUGAGAAGAGGUCAUGGUUGGUCCUUCUUGUCUUUUAGAUUUUCUUUAGUCAUGAACUUGUCUUAGCCUUUCUAAUGGUGGUUGUGGUUGUUGUUGUUGUUGUUGUUGUUGUUGUUGUUGUUGUUGUAGAUGGAGUCUCGCUGUGUUGCCAGGCUGGAGUGCACUGGUGCGAUCUUGGCUCACUGCAAUCUCCGCCUCUGGGGUUCAAGCGAUUCUCCUGCCUCAGCCUGCUGAGUAGCUGGGACUACAGGCGCCCGCCACCAUGCCCGGCUAAUUUUUUGUAUUUUUAGUAGAGACGGGGUUUCACCGUGUUAGCCAGGAUGGUCUCGAUCUCCUGACCUUGUGAUCCACCUAGCUUGGCCUCUGAAAGUACCGGGAUUAGAGGCGUGAGCCACCGCGCCCGGCCUCUAAUGGUUUCUGUACUUACCAUUACUGCAUGAGAGAGAGGUUCAUUGAGCACUCGUUAUGAGCCAGGCACUGUGCAUUGUUCCUACAUUAUGCCAUGAGAUUUCUAUAAAAACCUUCAGGUUUGUAGGGAUGGAUGAUUACCUAUCAGCUAGAUAUGACUAUCAUACUUACUUGACAGACAAGGAGUCUUUGACUUAAGUAGCUUGUCCAAGAUCACAACAUGAGAGUUAAGAGAAGGGUUUUAAAUGUGAAGCUUUGUGGUAGAACCCAAACCCUUACCCAAUAAGCUGGACCACCACGGAUCUCAGGAAUUGGUCACUCUGGCUGCCAAAUUUCUGCUCACCUCUUCUCUCUCUUCCUUUUCAUUCUUUUCCCAAAAUAUAAGGACACAUCAAAAGAUGUUUCUGGCCGGGGGCAGUGGGUCAUGCCUGUAAUCCCAGCACUUUGGGAGGCAGGCUGAUCACCUGAGGUCAGGAGUUCAAGACCAGCCUGGCCAACAUGGCAAAACUCCGUCUCUACUAAAAAUACAAAAAUUAGCCGGGCUACUCAGGAGACUGAGGCAGGAGAAUCACUUGAACCCGGGAGGUGGAGGCUGCAGUGAGCUGAGAUCAUGCCACUGCACUCCAGCCUGGGGUAUAGAGUGAGACUCUGUCUCAAAAACAAAAAAAAGAUGUUUCUAAGAAUGCCAGUGGUGCACGUUUGAGAGCAGUAUUACUCCAGUGAAUGAAUGUGACCACUACAACCGCUCUGCAUGUGAAACAUUUUUUGAAAACACGUGUAUAGAAGAUGUUUCUAAGAGCGCAGCUUGGGUGCGUGAUUAAGAUGUGUUGUUUCAAUGAAUAAAGGUGUCCACUACACUAUUCUGCAUGUAAUAUACUCUGAAAAGACAUGUGUACAAAAGAUGUUGCUAAAACAUUCUCAACACAGUAGCCAGAGUGGUCCUUUUUGUUCGUCAGACCCUCUAACUGUUACUAAAACCCUCCAGUGUCUCCUCUUCUCACCCAGAGUAAAUUAAAGUCCUUGAUUUUAGUGGCCUUGGCCUACAGGGCCACACAUGGUAUACAUACCCCAGUGCCUCAGGUGACGGUUAGCUUGAUGUGUCACCUGGCCAGGCUAUGGUACUCAGUUACUUAAUCAAACACUGAUCUAGAUGUUGCUGUGAAGGUGUGUUUUGUAGAUGUGGGUAACCUCUACAAUCAGCUGACUUUAGGUAAAGGAGAUUUACCCCCAAUCAUCUGGGUGGGCCUCUUCCAAUCAGUUGAAGGCCUUCGGAGCAAAAGUCUCUCUAUAUAUCUUUAUCUAAUCUAUAUCUGCGUCUAAUCUGUUGAUCCUCUGGGCUCUGUUCUCUGGAGAGCCCUGACUGCUCCACUCUGCUGCUUUCCUCACAUUUUCUCCCCCCCUCACCCUACUCCUCCAUGCCACUCUCUUUGCUGGGUCCCCAAAACACCAGGCCGACCCCUGCCCUUGGGCCUUGCACUUGCCACUCCGCCUGCAGGACCCCAUCCCCCAGAUAUCCCCAUGGCUCACUCCCCACCUCCUUCAGAUGAAGCCUGUACUGGAUUGCCCUAUUCGGAAUUGCAGCCAUCCCCCGCCAGCUGCCCCAUUCUCUGUACCCUGCUCUGCUGUUUUCUUUUGUCCACAGCACAUCACCCUCUAACAUACAGUGUCAUUUAUUGGUUAGUUUUGUAUGUUGUUUAUUGUGUGUCUCCACCACUAGGGUGCAAGUCCCAUGAGGGAAGCAGUUCCUGUCUAUUUUGUCUGCUGAUGUAUCCCAGGUGCUUAGCACAGAGUAAGCACCCAAGGGUACCUGUGGGACCAAAAUGAAUAAGCAGUCUGUGGGGGGCAGUGAGGAGGGGCUAGCUGGGAGUGAGAUGGGGUCCUGGGACUGCUCAGCUAUGGGGCUGGGUUAAUGAGUGGGGUCUGUGUGGGCAGUGAUUGGUAAGACUGGGAGGACCAAUGGUAGGCUAAUGGGGCCAGCAGUUUGGGCACCUCUGCAGGGUGCAUUAAGGAGACUCUGGCUUUUAGUGGCUGUGGGAGGAAUGAGUAUCUUGCCCAAGGUCGCUCAUCUAGCAGAGCUGGAGUUGACCUCACGAAGACUUAACCAUGACACAGAGCAAGGUCAAGCUGUGAAAGCUGACUUAAAGAAGUACACAGGGCAUGGGCAAGACAAGGUCUGUGUGCCCUGGAAGCUUUACCUGUCUUACCUGUCUGCAGACCAGAAUGGGAAAAAUAAUUCAGAUGUUGAUACUACAGGUAAAAUCAGUAUUUGAGAGCUCUGAUCAGACCCAAUCUGGCAGAUUGUAUCAGUGCACAGUGCACAGUGCCUGGGGCCGUGUUCCCCUAGACUAAUGUGCCCUUUCUGCUGUUUCUGUUAGGAGAGUCUGCAGGUAAAUUUGAGAAUAAACCACAGCCAGAUGGAGGUGACAGGAGAGGGCUGGGACCCUAGCAAUGGGACACAGCACCACUGUGCCAUGGAAUGGUGAUUUUUAUAAUACUAUGUAGGAUGAAUAAGAGGGAAAAGAUACAAGAAGCAGAAAGACUAGUUAGUAUUCUGACAGAAUAAUUGCUAUAGGUUGAAUAUUCAUGUUGCUCCAAAAUGCAUAUGGUGAGAUCCUAACCCCCAUUGUAUGGUAUUUGGAGCUGGGGCCUUUGGGAGGUUAUGAAAGUAGAGCCCUCGGGAAUGGGAUUAGAGCCCUUAUAAAAGAGACCCCAGGGUGCCCUCACACCUCCCACCAUAUGAGGACACAGCAAGGAAGUGCUGUUUAAGAACAAGCAGGCAGCCCUCACCAGACACCAAAUCCACUGGUGUCUUGCUCUUGGACUUUCCAGCCUCCAGAACUAUGAGAAAUGUCUGUUUUUUAGAAGCCACUGAGUCUACGGUACUCUUUUAUAGCAGCCUGAAUAGAGUAAAGCAGUAAUCCACAAAUUAAGUGAUGAGGCUUAAAAUUUUCAAAUUCAGUCUUCUUUUUUGUUUUUGGAGACAGAGUUUUUCUUUGUUGCCCAGGCUGGAGUGCAAUGGCACGAUCUCAACUCACAGAAACCUCCGCCUCCCGGGUUCAAGCGAUUCUCCAGCCUCAGCCCCCCGAGUAACUGGGAUUGCAGACAUGUGCCACCAUGCCCAGCUAAUUUUGUGUUUUUAGUAGAGAUGGUGUUUUGCCGAGAUGGUGUUUCGCCAUGUUGACCAGGCUGGUCUUGAACUCCUGGCCUCAAGUGAUCCACUCACCUCAGCCUCCCAAAGUGCCAAGAUUACAGGCAUGAGCCACUGCACUCAGCCAGAUCCAGUCCUUUUACUAAUUUACUUCUCUACACCCUUGCGUGCCUUUUAGAAUUCUAUCCAACUGGUCAGUUUCUUCUUAUCAAAGCCUUAUUCCUUCUUGGUCCCUAUCCCUUACAUUUCUUCAGCCUUUUCUCCACAGGGUGGAAUGUCAUUUUUGAAACCCCCCAAGCUACUUGUAAUAAGCAUCAGCAUUCCACUCUGGCUGCCCAUACUACAGCAGUUUUUCCCCCGUCAAAGCCCAAGAGGUAGAAAAUAUUUAGUUUGGAAUUUUUCAUGUUUAGAAACAAAGGUAUCAAUAUAACAAAGAGUAUUUGUGAAGCAGUUUCAUUCUAUAAAAUGUUGAGAAGAUUCACUUGGAAUUGUGCAUUUUAUUCCAUUUUUGAAGAAGUUUUAUGAAACAAUAUCUGUAUAAAGAAGCAACCGAAGACCUAAAUCAAACUUUUGGGAAAGGUUAAAUUUAUUGAACAGGAAGUAACUGAAUAAAGUCAGUUACCUGGACUCUUUACAGUAAGCAAUGAAUGUAAUAAAUUAAGGGGAAAUUUCUAAAGAGCAAAAAGGAUAAGAAAUGGGACAAAGCUAUAAUAAAUGUGUCAGAAGAUUCACACAAGCGAGACAGCCUAAGAAUAUGGUUACUAUACAGAAGCUCUUCUGUAGAAGUCUCAACACAGUGGACCAUAGGUGACACCUUAUAAAUAGGUGGGUAAAGCUUACAUCAAAACGUAAAUUAUACUCUGCUUUAGAGCUCUCAUCCCAGAGAGGAGCACUGCAAUUUUAACUGUGUAAACAUGGAAUAAGCCUCCAACCCAGAACUCCAUUUUCACCGGAACAUAUAAUUCAUACAAAUAAUUCAAGGGCAACAAAUGGGACAAAACCUUCGGUGCAGGUCAGCUCUCACUCGACAUAAGAGAAACCACACUGGAAGAAUGCCUUAUAAAUUCCAUACAUAGAAGAAAACCCACAAAACUUUAUUCAGGGGUCCAAAUAAAUUGAUUGGACCUCAAAGAAUUCAAACCCAUGCAUGCAAAAAAACAGGAAAAUCUUUAGGGAGCUGUCAACCUCCACUGAACACCACAGAAAUGAUCAAAGAGGCUAGGUGCAAUGGCUCACGUUUGUAAUCCCAGCACUUUGGGAGGUGGAGGCAGGAGGAUCGCUCGAGCUCAGAAGUUCGAGACCAGCCUGGGCAACAUAGUGAGACCUCGUCUCUACAAAAAAUAAAACAUUAGCUGGGUAUGGUCGUGCGCACCAGCUACUCAGGAGGCUGAGGCGGGAGGAUUGCUUGAGCCCAGGUCAAAACUGCAGUGAGCUAUGAUCGUGCCACUGCACUCCAGCCUAAGAAAUUGAGCAAGAUCCUAUCUCGAAAAAAUAAAAUAAUAAAAUAAAGAAAUGAUCACAGGCAGAAACCGUAUGCACACACCGAGUGUGGAAAAGCCCUCUUGUGGAAGUCAGUUAUUUGUGUACAUCAGAAAAUUCUGGAAGGAGAGAAACCUUGUGAAUGUACUAAAUGACAACAUCUUCAGUAACAGAGGAUGUCCCACUGUACCCAGAAUGGUGCAUGCUGUGGAGAUACCCUGCAAGUAGACCGAAUGUGAGAAAGCCACAGGAGUAGAUGGGCCUCGCGGUGCAUCAGAGUUCCUGCCAGAGAGGCCCACAGGCAUGAACAUGGCAGAGUGUGAAAGUCGUCUGCGGGAAGCCAGGACUCUACGCCAGAAACUUCACACUGGGGAGAAAUCCUCAGUGCAAUCAGUGUAGAAAUGCCUCUACUAAGAACUGCUUCUGAUUCUGAAUCACAGAGUUCACAGUGGAGAAAACCACAUGAAUGUAAAACUGUGGAAAAGUUUUCAGCUAGAAGCCAGAGCGCACUGCACACCAAAGAAUUCACACUGGGAGAGACAUGAGAAAACAGCAAAUGCGGGAAAACUUUCCCUUGGAGAUCAGAGCUCACUGAUCUCAGAGUUCAUACAGGAGAAGAGCCCUAUACAAUCACGAGGGUGGAACCGCCUUUGGCAAGAAAACACGCCCCAUUACCUAUGAGAGAGCUGCACAGGAGAGAAACCCUAUGGAAUAAAUAAUUCUGGAAAGCAUUCAGCAACAAAUGAAACGUCCUCAUUUGCACUAUAGAGAAGCCCUAGGAACACAACAAAUGUGGAGGAGAGUCAGUAGCGCAACAAAAAUGUUUGUCAGAGGAGAAGCUUUUAAGUUAAUUACUUAAAACCUGCAGCAACACCUAGUCCCAAGGUCAAAACCAACUGCUCACCAGAGAAGCUGUAUGGGAAAGUUUGUAUGUUGGAUAAAGUGUGGUUCACCCUCAAAACUAGCUCCAGACAUCACAGACUAGAGAAUGUAUACUGAUCUUAAACAGUAGUCAAUUUAACAAAUGUAAAUUCUACUCCCAGGGACAUAAAAUUCCAUAACUUAAACCAAGCUUUUUGUAAAAACUAUCAGUGAAAAACAAAUGUGCGUGCAUCUGCAGCCCAAGCCUCUUCCUCCCCAGGCCUGGCGCUCAGCUUGCAAAUGGACUUCCCAGUACCUAUGGGGAAUGAAGGGUUUCCAUACCCGUCCUGAGCCAUCCACUUGGGAUUCACCCUCACCACGGCCAUGACUCUCUGUCGCUGCUCCCAACCUGGAGCUCCUAAACCCAUCCCCAACCUGAACACAACACAAAUGCACCCCUGCUCCUUGUUCUCACAUCACUAACACUCCACACGUGUAUCUGAAUUUCUUCAGGUUUGGGGGGUUUUUUGGUGUUUUUUUGUUUUGUUUUUUUGAGACAGAGUCUUGCUCUGUCACCCAGGCUGGAGUACAGUGGCACAAUCACAGCUCACUGCAACCUCUACCUCCCAGGUUCAAGCGAUUCUCCUGCCUCAGCCUCCCAAGUAACUGGGAUUACAGGCACCCACCAUCACACCUGGCUAAUUUUUGUAUUUUUAGUAGAGACACGGUUUCCCCACAUUGGCCAGGCUGGUCUCGAACUCCUGACCUCAGGUGAUCCACCUGCCUUGGCCUCCCAAAGUGCUGGGAUUACAGGUGUGAGCCACCAUGCCUGGCCAAGGUUUGGGGGUGAUUUAAGGGAGUACACACAGGGGAGGAAAACAGCUGUACUCUAAGUCUGACCUUGCCCAAUCCCGGGGGGAUGGGGGAAAGCCCAUGGCAUUGGGAAUCUCAUGGGGGCGCACCCCAGUUCCUCAGCUCACUCUCGCACCCACUGCAGGCCCUUCCCAUGCUCACAGGGGUCUCACCCAGGGUCUCUCCCUCUAUGCCAGAGGAAUCCUACCCAGGCCUGAGUGCCUCUGUCCAGAUGCACAGCCCCAGGUCUCCUCUUGCUGAGACAGCUCCUCCUCCACUCCAACCCCAUGUUGCAUUCUGGGGUCUACACGUUCUUCCACACUGCCCAAUCCCCCGGUUAUGGGGGUUGACUGAGGGGAGGAAAUCUCCCGCAAACCAGGCAAAGCCCAGGGCUUCAUCAUCCUCUUUGGACUUCGGAUGAGAGAAUAAGGUUAGUCCCUCUCUAGAGCUAGAACCUUCUCGGUGGCUGUUUCCCACCAUGGGAAGCGAGUCUGGUCUGUGGUGAGGAAGCAUGAAGCUCACAUGCUGGAAUCGGGGCAGAGCUGGGUCCAGUUCCUUCUCAAGGCCAGCCCCACCGACGCGGAGCAUGGUCUUCGCAAACUCCCUGCCACUGACUGUUCACUGUGGACCCGGGCUCUAUGCAGCUUCCACUGCGAGGCAAGAGGAAGAAAGGAGAGGCAGCGAGCAGUCCCCUUCCCACCUGCCCUGCUACUUGUGGUCCUCUGCAUCCUCGCCCUUGGGUGGGGCUGCCACCGUGGAGGUGGCCUUGAGGCUCCGCUUUCGCUUCUGCACAUUCUGCUCUGGAUGGAACAGGAUGACGUAGGUUUUGGGUACGUAGAGCAUGCCGAGGGACACCGAGGCACUCAGGCUCAAGGACACGGUUAGCGUGGUUGUCUGGAUGUAGAUCUAGGCCAUGGAAGAGGGGACGAGACGGGACUCAGCCCUGCUCUCCCUGCCCUGCCCCACACAGUCCUCACCACAUACUCUGGAGCUGAGUCUGUUUCAUUUGGGGAACUGGGAAUGAGCACUUAGACCAGGACAACAGUAUGAGCAGGGGCCCCGCGCCUGAGGGGCUGGCAGCCUCCAUGCAGCUCUGGUGUGGGCAGGAGGGAGGGGUGAGGAGGGGUUAUUAACAGAGAGACACCUGGGGAAGCGGGAGCUGUGGGAGGGGUGAGGAGGGGUUAUUAA